GCCCCGGUAGCUCAGCCUGGAAGAGCGUCGGCAUGGUAAGCCGAAGGUCGCGGGUUCAAAUCCCGCCCGGGGCU
rnacentral:tRNA from 1 species